rfam:Termitomyces sp. J132 unplaced genomic scaffold scaffold197, whole genome shotgun sequence.
GGCCGCCUGGCGAAAUGGCAUCGCGUCUGACUACGAUAUGCUGUAAUCAGGAGAUUGCAGGUUCGACCCCUGCGGUGGUCA